GAAAUGUUUUACAUACGUUUUUACACAUAAUUGAGCUAUUGACGAAUCAUUAAGUAUUGCAAAAAUCCAAUUUUAUAAACUUGAUAAAUCGGGGAGUAGUUGGUCUUGCGAUUAAUUUCACUAUUGGUCUCUGCCUUUACACCUUCCCCUACAAAUAAUGCAAGCUAAAUUAUUGCUUCUGCUGAUGGCAAUGCUACUUGUCAUUUGCACUUCAAUUCCAUUCCAUUCGAAGGGGGCUUUCGACGCGUUUAAUUUUGUAGAGCCAAACGAAUCGGAGCCGGGUUGCCUGUGCCCAACAGAUAUGAACACGACGGGAACUUUCUUUUUUUUCUGUGGCCGUGAACUCAAACCCAACAAAUGUGCCCCGGAAGGCGUCGUGAGGUGCGUUAAUGGACGGAAAAAAGCAAUUCAACAAGAAAACUGUGCAGCAAACGGACAAAAAUGCGGUGUAAUGACUAAAAAAUUUGACGGAUCUCCAUGCCCCCACUGUGAAUCGCAUCGUUCAAGAGAUUGCAUAAGGUCGUGACGCUGACGAAGACGCAGAAAUAUUUGUUAGACAAUUAUUGGUUUAAAAUUUUGUACACCUGAAAUUUGCCACACCUUCAAAUAAUGUAACCCAUAAUAAAUUCAGAUGUAUCAGUAAAAAA